rnacentral:rRNA from 1 species
UACAGAGGGGGCAAGCGUUAUUCGGAAUCACUGGGCGUAAAGGGUGCGUAGGCGGGUCUUUAAGUCAGGGGUGAAAUCCUGGAGCUCAACUCCAGAACUGCCUUUGAUACUGAAGAUCUUGAGUUCGGGAGAGGUGAGUGGAACUGCGAGUGUAGAGGUGAAAUUCGUAGAUAUUCGCAAGAACACCAGUGGCGAAGGCGGCUCACUGGCCCGAUACUGACGCUGAGGCACGAAAGCGUGGGGAGCAAACAGG